CCGAGUUCAUGCCCUUACGGGUAGAUCUCCCACCCUUUGUAUACUAUACCUUUGUUGCUUUGGCGGGCCGCCUAGCUACUGGCUUCGGCUGGUAAGUGCCCGCCAGAGGACCCAAACCCUUGAUUUUAUACAGUAUCUUCUGAGUAAAUGAUUAAAUAAAUCA
rnacentral:misc_RNA from 1 species